GCAUGGCUGUCGUCAGCUCGUGUUGUGAAAUGUUGGUUAAGUCCCGCAACGAGCGCAACCCUUAUCCUUUGUUGCCAGCGGUCCGGCCGGGAACUCAAAGGAGACUGCCAGUGAUAAACUGGAGGAAGGUGGGGAUGACGUCAAGUCAUCAUGGCCCUUACGACCAGGGCUACACACGUGCUACAAUGGCGCAUACAAAGAGAAGCGACCUCGCGAGAGCAAGCGGACCUCAUAAAGUGCGUCGUAGUCCGGAUUGGAGUCUGCAACUCGACUCCAUGAAGUCGGAAUCGCUAGUAAUCGUGGAUCAGAAUGCCACGGUGAAUACGUUCCCGGGCCUU
rnacentral:rRNA from 1 species